CUUAUCCUUUGUUGCCAGCGGUCCGGCCGGGAACUCAAAGGAGACUGCCAGUGAUAAACUGGAGGAAGGUGGGGAUGACGUCAAGUCAUCAUGGCCCUUACGACCAGGGCUACACACGUGCUACAAUGGCAUAUACAAAGAGAAGCGACCUCGCGAGAGCAAGCGGACCUCAUAAAGUAUGUCGUAGUCCGGAUUGGAGUCUGCAACUCGACUCCAUGAAGUCGGAAUCGCUAGUAAUCGUAGAUCAGAAUGCUACGGUGAAUACGUUCCCGGGCCUUGUACACACCGCCCGUCACACCAUGGGAGUGGGUUGCAAAAGAAGUAGGUAGCUUAACCUUCGGGAGGGCGCUUACCACUUUGUGAUUCAUGACUGGGGUGAAGUCGUAACAAGGUAACCGUAGGGGAACCUGCGGUUGGAUCACCUCCUUACCUUAAAGAA
rnacentral:rRNA from 1 species